AAGUUUUGGUCCUAAACUUGCCAUUGUUUUUUAUCAAAAUUAUACAUGCAAGCCUCCACACACCAGUGAGAAUGCCCACACACCCCAAACAGACAGCCGGAGCAGGCAUCAGGAUACAACAUAGACCUUAGCCUAAUACGCCUUGCAUACGCCACACCCCCACGGGCCUUCAGCAGUAGUUAACAUUAAUAGAUGAGCGAAAGCUCGACUUAGUUAUGAUGUAAGUGGUCGGUAAAUUUCGUGCCAGCCACCGCGGUUAUACGAAAGACCAGAAACAACGGCCUUCGGCGUAAAGCGUGACUAGAGACACACCAAACUAAAGGAGAAUAGCAACCAAGUUGUUAAACACCACUGUAUGCUAGAACACCAACAUAACGCCUUUAGCCCACUUUACCUCACGAAAACUAAGAAACAAACUGGGAUUAGAUACCCCACUAUGCUUAGCCGUAAACAUAGAUGGUACAAAUACAACACCAUCCGCCAGAGAACUAUAAGCAAAAAGCUAAAAACUCCAAGGACUUGGCGGUGCUUCAAAUCAACCUAGAGGAGCCUGUCCUACAAUCGAUACUCCACGCUUUACCCUACCCCUCCUAGUCAACCAGCCUAUAUACCGCCGUCGUCAGCCUACCUUAUGAAAGAAGGAAAGUGGGCAAAAAAGUUACCAACUAACACGUCAGGUCAAGGUGUAGCAAAUGGGGGGGCAGAGAUGGGCUACAUUCUUUCAAAGAAAAAACACGAAUAGUAAAUUGAAACUCAUACUUGAAGGCGGAUUUAGUAGUAAAAUAAGCAAGAAUACUUAUUUUUAAACCUGCCCUGAAGCGCGCACACACCGCCCGUCACCCUCAUCA
rnacentral:ncRNA from 1 species